UGAUGUUAGCGGCGGACGGGUGAGUAACACGUGGGUAACCUGCCUGUAAGACUGGGAUAACUCCGGGAAACCGGGGCUAAUACCGGAUGCUUGAUUGAACCGCAUGGUUCAAUUAUAAAAGGUGGCUUUUAGUUUCCACUUCCAGAUGGCCCCGCGGCGCAUUAGCUAGUUGGGGAGGUAACGGCUCACCAAGGCAACAAUGCGUACCCAACCUGAAAGGGGGAUCGGCCACACUGGGACUGAAACACGGCCCAAACUCCUACGGGAGGCAGCAGUAGGGAAUCUUCCGCAAUGGACGAAAGUCUGACGGACCACCGCCGCGUGAGUGAUGAAGGUUUUCGGAUCGUAAAACUCUGUUGUUAGGGAAAAACAAGUACCGUUCGAAUAGGGCGGUCCCUUGACGGUCCCUAACCAGAAAGCCACGGCUAACUACGUGCCAGCAGCCGCGGUAAUACGUAGGUGGAAAGCGUUGUCCGGAAUUAUUGGGCGUAAAGCGCGCGCAGGCGGUUUCUUAAUUCUGAUGUGAAAGCCCCCGGCUAAACCGGGGAGGGUCAUUGGAAACUGGGGAACUUGAGUGCAGAAGAGGAGAGUGGAAUUCCACGUGUAGCGGUGAAAUGCGUAGAGAUGUGGAGGAACACCAGUGGCGAAGGCGACUCUCUGGUCUGUAACUGACGCUGAGGCGCG
rnacentral:rRNA from 1 species